AACGAACGCUGGCGGCAUGCCUAACACAUGCAAGUCGAACGAGACCUUCGGGUCUAGUGGCGCACGGGUGCGUAACGCGUGGGAACCUGCCCUUAGGUUCGGAAUAACUCCCCGAAAGGGGUGCUAAUACCGGAUAAUGUCUUCGGACCAAAGAUUUAUCGCCUUUGGAUGGGCCCGCGUUGGAUUAGCUAGUUGGUAGGGUAAAAGCCUACCAAGGCAACGAUCCAUAGCUGGUCUGAGAGGAUGAUCAGCCACACUGGGACUGAGACACGGCCCAGACUCCUACGGGAGGCAGCAGUGGGGAAUAUUGGACAAUGGGCGAAAGCCUGAACCAGCAAUGCCGCGUGAGUGAUGAAGGCCUUAGGGUUGUAAAGCUCUUUUACCCGGGAUGAUAAUGACAGUACCGGGAGAAUAAGCUCCGGCUAACUCCGUG
rnacentral:rRNA from 1 species